CGAACAGGAUUAGAUACCCUGGUAGUCCAUGCCGUAAACGUUGGGCACUAGGUGUGGGGACAUUCCACGUUUUCCGCGCCGUAGCUAACGCAUUAAGUGCCCCGCCUGGGGAGUACGGCCGCAAGGCUAAAACUCAAAGGAAUUGACGGGGGCCCGCACAAGCGGCGGAGCAUGCGGAUUAAUUCGAUGCAACGCGAAGAACCUUACCAAGGCUUGACAUGAACCGGAAUGAUGCAGAGAUGUGUCAGCCACUUGUGGCCGGUUUACAGGUGGUGCAUGGUUGUCGUCAGCUCGUGUCGUGAGAUGUUGGGUUAAGUCCCGCAACGAGCGCAACCCUCGUUCCAUGUUGCCAGCGGGUUAUGCCGGGGACUCAUGGGAGACUGCCGGGGUCAACUCGGAGGAAGGUGGGGACGACGUCAAAUCAUCAUGCCCCUUAUGUCUUGGGCUUCACGCAUGCUACAAUGGCCGGUACAAAGGGUUGCGAUACUGUGAGGUGGAGCUAAUCCCAAAAAGCCGGUCUCAGUUCGGAUUGAGGUCUGCAACUCGACCUCAUGAAGUUGGAGUCGCUAGUAAUCGCAGAUCAGCAACGCUGCGGUGAAUACGUUCCCGGGCCUUGUACACACCGCCCGUCAAGUCACGAAAGUUGGUAACACCCGAAGCCGGUGGCCUAACCCUCUGUGGGAG
rnacentral:rRNA from 1 species